CCUACGGGAGGCAGCAGUGGGGAAUAUUGCACAAUGGGGGAAACCCUGAAGCAGCGACGCCGCGUGAGGGAAGAAGGAUCUCGGGACGUAAAGCUCUAUCAGCAGGGAAGAAAAUGACGGUACCUGACUAAGAAGCCCCGGCUAACGACGUGCCAGCAGCCGCGGUAAUACGUAGGGGGCAAGCGUUAUCCGGAGUGACUGGGUGUAAAGGGAGCGUAGACGGCAGCACAAGUCUGUAGUGAAAUCCCGGGGCUUAACCCCGGAACUGCUUUGGAAACUGUGCGGCUGGCGUGCAGGAGGGGUAAGCGGUAUUCCUUGUGUAGCGGUGUAAUGCGUCGAUAUUAGGAG
rnacentral:rRNA from 1 species